CCCUAGUACUGCGAGUGACGCGGGAAAAGCUCAAAUUUAAAAUCUGGUGGUCUUUGGCCAUCCGAGUUGUAAUCUAGAGAAGUGUUAUCCGCGCUGGACCGUGUACAAGUCCCCUGGAAUGGGGCGUCAUAGAGGGUGAGAAUCCCGUCUUUGACACGGACUACCAGGGCUUUGUGAUGCACUCUCAAAGAGUCGAGUUGUUUGGGAAUGCAGCUCAAAAUGGGUGGUAAAUUCCAUCUAAAGCUAAAUAUUGGCGAGAGACCGAUAGCGAACAAGUACCGUGAGGGAAAGAUGAAAAGAACUUUGGAAAGAGAGUUAAACAGUACGUGAAAUUGUUGAAAGGGAAACGCUUGAAGUCAGUCGCGUCUGCCAGGGAUCAACCUUACUUUUGUGAGGCGUACUUCCUGGUUGAUGGGUCAGCAUCAGUUUUGGUUGCUGGAUAAAGGUCAGAGAAAUGUGGCACCUUCGGGUGUGUUAUAGUCUUUGAUCAGAUACAGUGGCUGGACUGCA
rnacentral:rRNA from 1 species